AUGUCGAUCAGUCCAUCGACUGGGGACGAGGAGCAGGCGUCAGCCGGACCACCGGACGGGAAGGUGUCGAUCGGUCCUCCGACUGGGGGACGAGCAGGCGUCGGCCCGGACCACCGAUGCGGACGCGUCGAUUGGUCCUCCGACGGGCGACGUAGAGGGGCAGAGCUCGGCCGGACCACCGACGAGCGGUGCGUCGAUCGGCCCACCGACGAGGAAUGCGUCGAUCGGUCCUUCGACUGCAGCGAGGAGGGGCGGACGUCGACCGGACCACCGAUGAGGAACGCGUCAAUCGGUCCUUCGACUGGAGACGAGGAGGGGCAGACGUCGCUCGGUCCACUGACUGAAGACGAGGAGGGGCAGGCGUUGGCCAGACCACCGACGACGGACGCGUCGAUUGGCCCACCGACUGGGGACGAGGGGGAUUCUGCUGGACCACCGACGGGGAACGUGUCGAUCGGUCCACUGACCGGGUGUACCCUCGGAUCCCUGAUGCUAGCAGGCCUGACGCUAGCCACCUGCGGUGCUGGCUGGAUGCUAGCAGGCCUGACGCUAGCCAACUGGUGUGCUGGCUGGAUGCUAGCAGGCCUGAUGCUAGCCAACUGGGGUUUUGGCUGGAUGGCACACUGGGAGGCUUGCUGGAUGCUAGCAGGCCUGAUGCUAGCCAACUGGGGUGCUGGCUGGAUGGCACACUGGGAGGCUGGCUGGAUGCUAGCAGGCCUGAUGCUAGUCAAUUGGGGUGCUGGCUGGAUGCUAGCAGGCCUGAUGCUAGUCAACUGGGGUGCUGGCUGGGUGGCACACUGGGAGGCUGGCUGGAUGCUAGCAGGCCUGAUGCUAGUCAAUUGGGGUGCUGGCUGGAUGCUAGCAGGCCUGAUGCUAGUCAACUGGGGUGCUGGCUGGAUGCUAGCAGGCCUGAUGCUAGCCAACUGGGGUGCUGGCUGGAAGGCACACUGGGUGGGGGUCCGGAGAAUUCAAAAAGUCCUUGAGCCAGCCAGGCAACGAACUCCUCAACCAGGGCCACUGGGAAACUUCCCUGCGUGCCAUGCGCAGACACCCCUCCUUGUAUCCCCAUCCCAUGUCUCUAUUAAAUUGCCAAUGAAUACAAGUCAGGCUGUAAAUUAA
rnacentral:lncRNA from 1 species